AGUCUGUUUAGCUGAUUGCCUUGCUAUUUAUCACUAAAAGAGUGCCGUAGAAAAGACUUACUUCGGUUUAAUUUGGUUCGAUUCCAGAACAGAUUG
rnacentral:tRNA from 1 species